rnacentral:rRNA from 1 species
UACCAGCACCCCGAGUGGUCGGGACGAUUAUUGGGCCUAAAGCAUCCGUAGCCGGUUUUACAAGUCCUCCGUUAAAUCCAACUGCUUAACAGAUGGGCUGCAGAGGAUACUGUAGAGCUAGGAGGCGGGAGAGGCAAGCGGUACUUAGUGGGUAGGGGUAAAAUCCGUUGAUCCACUGAAGACCACCAGUGGCGAAGGCGGCUUGCCAGAACGCGCUCGACGGUGAGGGAUGAAAGCUGGGGGAGCAAACCGG